rnacentral:lncRNA from 1 species
ACGAGGAGAGGGGAUUGAGGUUGAAGAAAGAGUUGUGAUUGGAGGGACGCCCUUUUCCCAUCCUUUGGACCCCCUGGGAAGCUCAACAAACCUUCUGCACCUGGAACUGGGUGUGGAGAGUACAGUUGAAUGAGAGACAGCUGUGGGCAGGCUGAGGAAGUACCACUCGCCUUGGGCCUGCCCAUGACAAGCAAGUCUAGAGUGAGAGACUAGACUAGAGUUCCAGGAACUCUUCUUCUUGUGAUACUUUUGUCGGUGAGGUGAAAGUUUGUUUGGACCCUGGGUGAGAACCUGGAGGCUGAGAGGGAGUGUGCAUCAGAAGAAGAAUGAAUUUAUAUUGAUUUAUAUAUAUUAGUAUCUUUGUAUUAAUGUAACAUUUUUAUAUGUAAUUGUGUAUUUUUGUAAUAUUUUGUUUAAGUUGUCUGUUGUUGCUUCAGUUUUCUGUGCACAGUUUAGAGAUAUUUUUUAGUAUAUUAAGAGGUAUAUAAAUUUUAAAAAAUCAAAUCAAAUAGGAAGGGCAUUUAACAUGUAGGAGCCGGAGUUUUAGCCAAAUAUUUCUGCAAACAUUUCCACAUUAUCUAAUAACUCCUGAACAUUUUUAAUUACAUGUUUAUAAUUGCACGUUUUAAUUACAAGCUUAAUGUGUGAAAACAGAAUUUACCUGUCUGUUAAUGAACAGUAAGGUAUUAAUUCAUAACCCAGUGGGGGAUUCUGAGUAUUAUCUGUGUCAAUAUGCUUUGUCCUUCAUAGGGUGUGACCUCCUUGGCCAACGUGAACAGCUGAAGGACUCAAUGGUUUGGUUAUGGCAAUUUCUUCAAUAUUGCAUUUCACCUCUGGGACAUAUAAAAUUAUUGUAUACUACUUUAUACCACUAGAGGUCAGUAUAAACAAAGAAAUAACGGUUGUAAGAAACAUUUUGUAAAGGAAACCCUGAUUUCUGCAAAAUAAAAUAACAUACAGUAUUAAAAAGCUAAAUAAUAUAUAUCUCAAAACCAGCCUGUAUUUCUUCUUCUGUAAUAAAUACUGGUUUAGGCAAACCUGUGAUUAACCAAAGUUACCCAUCUUAUCCACUCUUUUAGAUAAGGCUGACCAGUAGGUGAUUAUUUUGCUAACUAUUGUGAAAAUAUAUCUAUCAUACUGUUACUAAGUAAGUGGCUCUUGUGGUGUUCUUGAGUGGGUUUCUGGUUAUAAUGUUAAAAGAGAAUUUUAACAUUUCUUUCUAAAAUUAUGUUCAGAGCAAUCCUAACUAUGUAAUACUGUAACCUGCCCUGGCAGUUGGGACUUCACAGUGAAGGGCAGGCAAGCAAGUCAUACAUAUACAUACACUUGCUUGCAGGAUCAUCGCCUUGUUGUGGUGAGUGGGUGAGUGGGCUUGCACAUUCCUAUGACCCUUGUGAGCAAAGCCGUCUGGAGUCUCGUACUCCCAGCAGGGUCACCCGAGGCGGUACAGUCAAAGGGGAGGAGCUAGACAAAGAAUGAUCCAAGAAGUCCUCAACGAUAGAACAGGCAGAAAAUAACAAGCAGUAUGUUACAAUGGCUGCGACGGCAGAUGAAGGUUGCAGCAGAUAAGAAUCUACCGGUCGUCUCGAUACUCAUGCCAUCGGAAUAGAGUCUAACUGUGAAGACUGUGCAUUGGUCAGCGUGCACUGAUCUACACACACAAAACAAAUUCACGUACAGGCGUCUUCCAAAAAUCCACCCCAAACCCAAAAAAGUCCCAUGGCGAUCAGCAAAUGGUAACAGGGGCAAGACCAUGAAAUCUGGAAGCCCCUAGUAGUGAACCAGCCUGUGGGCGGUGGAUACAGAUUCACUCGUUCUGACUCAAGGAAUGAGGCAGUUGUGUAGCUCGGCAGCUAAGCAGUCCUAUUUAGGAUACACUCUGCUCACCGUGAAAAGGGGGGUGGGCGUAGAAAAGGUGCCCUAAACAUAGUCUGCCUCCCUUUUUCCCUGACUGGAUUACCGCGCCACCCAGCAGUUGUAAAAGACAAUUGAACUUUGGAACAAGGAAUAUAUGGACUUUGUUGGAUAACACAGAUAAUGAGCAUUCCGAGCUCAGGAUCGCCAUCAUUGCAAGAGAGUUGCAACGAAUAAAAAGGAGGCUACACAUUCUUCUGGAAAGGUCUACCUGAACAAGAAAAUCAAAUACAUGGAGUAGGUUUUGCUAUAAAAAAUGAUCUUGUGAAGCUCUCGUCAGGAGUCCCUACCAGCAUUAAUGAGUGGCUUUCAACCCUUCGAAUAAAACUCACCAAAAACCAACAGGCUGCUAUUCUAAGCGCUCAUGCACAAACACUGGAUGCUGAUGAAGACAUUAAAGAAAAAAUUUAGUCUCAGCUGGAUGCCAUCCUAUCAGAUAAAAUUAUCCUCCUGGGUGAUUUUAAUGCAAGAGUUGGGCAAGAUUUUGAUCUAUGGCCUGGGACUAUUGGGAAAGAAGGAAUUGGCAACAGCAACCAGAAUGGAAUCUUACUUUUGACAAUAUGUGCAGCGCAUAACCUCAUUAUUACCAACACACACUUUCAACAAAAAUAAAUUUAAAACAUCAUAGAGGCACCCUCGGUCACACCACUGGCACCUCUUAGACUAUGUAAUUGUUCAAGCUGAAGAUGUCUGUGAUGUGCUCCUUGCCAGAGCUAUGACGAGUGCUGAUGACAGUGAAGGGCCACUGCCAGUCAAGAGUAGAUAAUUAUGGGAUGGAAGGUACUGUAACUUACUGGCCAAAUUUGCUUUGCAACUGGAGCAGAUGGAAAAAUGGUCUGACUUGUGUUUGGCUGUUUUCAUUUCCCUAUUCAUGAGCUAAGAAUGGAACUCAAUAUCUAGUACAUCUGUAAUCUUAAAGGGCAGCAUAAGGAUCUAAUCAAAAUCUAAAUAUUUAAAUCUAAAAUUCAAUCAUUCAAACACUGUUUCCUUUAAAGUAAAAUUUAUUUAGCAAAUUUUCAGGCUGCCCUUAAAUUGAGUUAGGACCGGAGUGCUGGGACAUCUGGCUCAUUCAUUAAAGGAUGCUCAGCUUUUUCUUACAAUGCUUGUCUACAGAACUCAUCAUUUUCUUGUCUUUUCCUUUUUCUAUUUAGCUUAGAGUUCAGAUAUUUCUGUACAAAGUAUAUAUUUUAAUUCAGAAUAGAUUCUCGGAAGAUGCGGUGAAGUCUUAAAAGCCAAAAAUUGGCAAGAAGUCUGGAAAAAUGAGGGUUGCAGCAGUAAACUUGAGAUGUAUAAUUUUACCAAUCUAAUGAUAUUUGACAGUUUCCCCUUUUCAAGAACUUUCCUAUAUAAACAUUGCCGAACUGGAGUAUUGUAAAAGCCACUUAAAAAAACAUUCUUUACUGGCUGGAUUUAAAGCUUUUGUUUGGCCAUGUUUUCUUUUUGGCAUAUAUUACAUCCUCUUUCCCUCUUCUGUCUGUUUUAGUUUCAGGUUUGUAUAGUGGUUUCCUUUUGCCGUUCGUCUUCUUAGAUUCUCUGAGGUCAAGUGGUUACUAGUGAAAGCUGAAAUAUGAGCAGAGUAGUGUUUUAUAUACUCCCCACCCCUCACUAAUGAGUUCUGUUAGAAUUUUCCAAGGCGUUUACAGUCAUGGACCAAAACUAUACUGCGGGUUGACAAGAGACAGAGCUACAGUAAUAUGUAAUUAUAUAUGUAUCUUUAUGUUUUAUCUCAAGCAUGGAUCAGAGUUGAAUACAGGAUUAGGAAUUGGUCAGGAUAGGACAAUAUCUAAAGGCAAAUGCAGUGGGUUGUAUUGUGAGGAGUGAUUUGUUGCAAGGUCCAAAUGGCAUCAAAUUUGGGGCAGAGUUCAUGCACGUUGAGAGAAUGCAGGGCUGCUGUUAGGCUAGAGCUGGGCUCAAUAACAAUCUGUCUGACACGUUCUGUACCAGCUGAAAUUUUCAAGUAACAUAGUCUUCAAAGGCAGCCCCAAAUACAGUGCAUUAGGGCUGGGCGGUAUAUCAAUAUACAGUCCAAAACUGGUUUGAAGUCCAUAUCGGAAUAUCGGUUUCAUUGUUUUUGACCUGGCAAUAUAUCGCGAAUCAUGAUGUGUGUUAGGGCUGGGCAAUAUAUCGUCCAAAACUAGUUUCAAGUCCAUAUCGUUGUAUUGGUUUCAUCAUUUUUGACCUGGAAAUAUAUUGCAAAUCAUGAUGUGUGUGUGCUAUGUCAAAAUCCCAAUGUGGGGGGAAAUGUGAAGCUAGCCAAAGCCUCUACAUAUCUCCAUCCUUAUUUAAGACAUCGUGAUAUAUCAAUAUAUCACAAUGUUUAGCUGGUGAUGUAUCAUGAUGUUGAAAACCAGAUAGUGCCCUGCCCUACAGUGCAUUGAGAACAGCCAUGUUGGAGCAGACUGUAGGCCUUUAAGAUCCAGUAACCUUUUUCCCACACUGCCCAACUAUAUGCCUAUAGGAAUGUUCUAACAAGCAGGACCAUGACUGCAGUAGCCCUCUCCAACUUUUCUCCAGUAACUUGAGACAGUAUGUAGCUAACAAGGAGUGCUUGAAUCCCUUGUCUUCCAUGCUAGCAGAACAUCUUGGCAUAGAGAAGAACCAGAAGAGUAUAUUUAGGCUGGUUAACCUAACUACCUUCCCUCUGCAAUUCUCUGAGCUCGCCACCUUCUCCAGAGGAAUGGGCAGCCUCCGGAAGAGUGUUACUGCUGAGGAAAGGGAGAAUUUUUAAAACUCCUCUACCCCACCUUCAGUCACAGAAGCCCCAACUGCAGUAAAGAAGCACACAAAUAGAUAUGUUCUAUUGUUUUUCUUCAAAUAUUCACAUUUCCAGGAAGUGGUUUAAAAAAAUAAUAAAAAAAAUUAUAACUUCAACAAACCCCUUCUAUUAAACUUUAAAUUUUUAGUACCUCUUCAAACAUUUCAUUAAAAAAAAAAGAUCAAACAAAAUCUGAUUUUGCUCGUGACGUUAGAAUUCGGGUUAAAAAGAAGAAGAGAGGCCUUUUUGCAAGUUGGGGGCAAUUUUAGUGAGUGAUACAGAGCCCAAAAUGGUUCAGGAUUUUUCAUACAUUUAACAAAUGUGUGAGAAUUCAAGAUGUGGUCUAAAGAAAGCAGUUUCCAAAUGUAUUAAAGCUUGCAAAAAGGACCAGGAUUGUUACUUGUAAUUCGAUAGCAGCAGGCUGUGAAAAACCAGAAAGUUGCCAAAGAUGACAGAGAUGUUUCUCAACAAAUUUGUGGAGUGAGUUUUUUUUUUUUUAAUAAGUUUAAUACAGGGAGGUCUAUAAAAAUUGUGCUGGGUGUUUGUUACUUCCAGCACAUUGCAACAACUAAUGGAUGUCAGGCCCCUGUUGCUAAUUAACCCAUAAUGCACCUUGAAGACCUCUUUAGUUCAACUUUCUUAUAAAUUAACACCUAGCCCAGUUCUGACAUGGAAUUUUGACUAUAAGUAACACAGGCAGCAGUUUGUAUGCAGUUUGAUUCCAGUUGCCAUUUAAAGUCUUCAAAUCAAACACAACAGUUCUUGGGCUGCUCACUUUGGUGGCCCUCAGGAAGGUGGCUUAGCUGCCUCUAGUUUCAACAGUGUGUGCCAGCACUGCAGUUGGGUCUGGGUCCUUCUGCAAGGAACCGCUUGUACCUUUGUCACAAGCUCCCUAUGGACUGUAUGUUUGCAGUGGCUCUUAGAAUUGGGCCACUGCUUUCUUUUGAUGUUACUGUGACUAACUUGGCUUUAAAUGUUGAUGUGCUUUUUUAGGGGGAUGGCAACAGCCAGAGUUUAAAAAGAGUCUAAUGUACAGAAUAAUGUAUACAUACUUACACUGAUUGAGUUAGAUGCUAGGAUAAGCUAAUGCAACCCUUAAAUCCUAGUCUAGACAAAGCCCUUGUGGCAAUGUGAAGGAUGCUGUGGAGAGCCAGGGGCACGCCUAAUGUUUUUGUAAAUUAAUGGAUUUUCUGGCCCAAACCUCCGUAUGGAGGAUGUGGAGUGGGAUGUAGCUGAUAGUCUAUGGCAGCCUGGCUGCGUGCCUGUCUCUGUUCUCACACUGGUUUGGAAAGGCCUCUUUGAGGCAACAAGUUUCAUUUAUUCAAGCAUUUGGUUGUUUAGCAUAUUGAGUGCUUCUGUCUUUAUUUUCUGUCAAUUCAGUUUAGGAUUGCUUCACCAUUGAGCUAAGAGUUCUUUUUAUUUGCUAAUUUAAAGUCUCAGAAUGUAAAUUUAUCUCUUUCUUUAAUAUAUCUAUACACA